rnacentral:rRNA from 1 species
GAUGAACGCUGGCGGCGUGCCUAAUACAUGCAAGUCGAGCGAACAGAUGAGGAGCUUGCUCCUCUGACGUUAGCGGCGGACGGCUGAGUAACACGUGGAUAACCUACCUAUAAGACUGGGAUAACUUCGGGAAACCGGAGCUAAUACCGGAUAAUAUAUUGAACCGCAUGGUUCAAUAGUGAAAGACGGUUUUGCUGUCACUUAUAGAUGGAUCCGCGCCGCAUUAGCUAGUUGGUAAGGUAACGGCUUACCAAGGCAACGAUGCGUAGCCGACCUGAGAGGGUGAUCGGCCACACUGGAACUGAGACACGGUCCAGACUCCUACGGGAGGCAGCAGUAGGGAAUCUUCCGCAAUGGGCGAAAGCCUGACGGAGCAACGCCGCGUGAGUGAUGAAGGUCUUCGGAUCGUAAAACUCUGUUAUUAGGGAAGAACAAAUGUGUAAGUAACUAUGCACGUCUUGACGGUACCUAAUCAGAAAGCCACGGCUAACUACGUG